ensembl:lncRNA
AGGUGACGGAGAACACAUUCUCACUCAUCAGUUAAUGAAACAGGGGAAGGAGAGGAAUCAGCCAAUUAAAAGCUGGAGACAUCGUGCUUGAAACGGAGGAUGCAGAACCAUAUGUUGGGAAAAUGAGACAUAACAGUGCAGGACGAUUGCCCCCAUCAAGAUGGUGAUGGAUAUUAAGACAUUUUCCAGAUUUAGCUUAUAUGAUAUAAACAGUAUCUCACAAAACACUGCCUUAACCCACUUGGGCAUGGAUGGAAACCAUCCAGAACAUUCUGGGCCCACAAGUCAAUAACUUCACCAGGAUUACAUUCCAGUUCAUAAGACAACAGUGAACGUUCUGGAACAAAAUGAAGACCCAAAGCAACUGAUUAAGAUGUGUGGAG